UCUUUUAACGUUAUUUUGCUUACUGGGACUAUUCUGAUAAGGGGCGGCAAUUUUGUGGUCUCGCCUAUGGCGGCCGGGACCAGCCGGUCACAUGAGCACUCUUACUUUCCAAACGUCAUUUGAUGUGGGUUUCAGUGCAGGCGGGAGAUCUAUUUUAUUUUCGAAAAUAACAAUAGCAACGUUGUAGGCCUACAACUGAAAACCUUUUGAUUACGUCCAUCGUCCAAACUGGAAUGUUGGCUAUUUUCGUCUCGAUUGCUUUUGCGCGUCUAUCGUCUGAACGAAGCAUUAGACCCUGGGCCUGGAUUGAAAUAAAACUGAAUUGAAGAGGUGAACUACAGUUGCGAUCGGCGCCAAUGGAUCCGCUGGCCUUUCUUACAGAUAAGCAGUUACUGCAGUUUUUACGCUGUAGUAGGACAGAGAUGUCGUGCAUGCUGCAACCACACACUUUUCUUAACCAGCUCCGUGACCACCACCUCAUUCCGGAGAACAUGUACAAGAAGCUGAUUUUGAUUCGGAGUAAGGAGCUGAGGGAGAAGGGUGUGUACCAGGUGUUGGACUGGGUGGAGGCAAAGAGGC